UGCCCCUCUGCACCGAGGGAGGCGCCCGCGACUCUAAACAACGGGUGCCGUGUCAGCUAGUCCCUGUCGGUGCCCCCUACGCACCGACCCGGGCAACAUCGUCAAACUGCGGGAAAGCCCUGCCACGACUCUCUCGGGACCUCACCGCCCCAGUAAUGGAAGCGGGUGCCUGCGGCUAACGGCCGCGGGUACGGUAAAGCACCGAAGUCUAGGGGCGAUCCGCCGCCAAACCCUCCCCGCACCGGGAGGGCCCAGCUCACAGGCCAGACGGCGAUGGGCGCUCUCGCGCUUAAGAUAUGGUCGAGUGACCCGCCGAGAGGCGGGUGCAACUCAGGAACGUCCGUAGGUGAACCUGCGGAAGGAUCAUU
rnacentral:rRNA from 1 species